rnacentral:rRNA from 1 species
GAUGAACGCUAGCGGCAGGCUUAACACAUGCAAGUCGAGGGGCAACACGGGUAGCAAUACCUGGUGGCGACCGGCGCAAGGGUGCGUAACGCGUGAGCAACAUGCCCUAUACAGGGGGAUAAUCCAGGGAAACUUGGUCUAAUAUCCCAUAGUAUUUAGAGGUGGCAUCACCACUAAAUUAAAGCUUCGGUGGUAUAGGAUUGGCUCGCGUGACAUUAGCUGGAUGGUGGGGUAACGGCUCACCAUGGCGAUGAUGUCUAGGGGUUCUGAGAGGAAGACCCCCCACACUGGGACUGAGACACGGCCCAGACUCCUACGGGAGGCAGCAGUGAGGAAUAUUGGACAAUGGAUGGAAAUCUGAUCCAGCCAUGCCGCGUGCAGGAAGACGGCCCUAUGGGUUGUAAACUGCUUUUAUAUGGGAGCAAUAAGGUUUACGCGUAGACCGAUGAGAGUACCAUAUGAAUAAGCAUCGGCUAACU